UUAAUUACCUGGCAGGGGAGAUACCAUGAUCACGAAGGUGGUUUUCCCAGGGUGAGGCUCAUCCAUUGCACUGCGGGUGUGCUGACCACUGAGAUUUCCCCAAAUGUGGGAAACUCAACUGCAUAAAAU
rnacentral:snRNA from 1 species